UAAGACAGAGGUGGCGAGCGUUGUUCGGAUUUACUGGGCGUAAAGGGUGCGUAGGCGGUUGAAUAAGAUGUGCGAGAAAGCUCAUGGCUUAACUGUGAAAGUUCGUACAUGACUAUUUGACUAGAGAAUGGGAGAGGAAAGCGGAAUUCCCGGUGGAGCGGUGAAAUGCGUAGAUAUCGGGAGGAAGGCCUGUGGCGAAGGCGGCUUUCUGGAACAUUUCUGACGCUGAAGUACGAGAGCGUGGGGAGCAAACAGGAUUAGAUACCCUGGUAGUCCACGCCGUAAACGAUGGGCACUAAGUGUCGGCAGGGUUCCUGCCGGUGCCGCAGCAAACGCAUUAAGUGCCCCGCCUGGGGAGUACGGCCGCAAGGUUG
rnacentral:rRNA from 1 species